rnacentral:rRNA from 1 species
GACGAACGCUGGCGGCGUGCCUAAUACAUGCAAGUUGAGCGAUGAAGAUUGGCGCUUGCACCAAUUUGAAGAGCAGCGAACGGGUGAGUAACGCGUGGGGAAUCUGCCUUUGAGCGGGGGACAACAUUUGGAAACGAAUGCUAAUACCGCAUAACAACUUUAAACAUAAGUUUUAAGUUUGAAAGAUGCAAUUGCAUCACUCAAAGAUGAUCCCGCGUUGUAUUAGCUAGUUGGUGAGGUAAAGGCUCACCAAGGCGAUGAUACAUAGCCGACCUGAGAGGGUGAUCGGCCACAUUGGGACUGAGACACGGCCCAAACUCCUACGGGAGGCAGCAGUAGGGAAUCUUCGGCAAUGGACGAAAGUCUGACCGAGCAACGCCGCGUGAGUGAAGAAGGUUUUCGGAUCGUAAAACUCUGUUGGUAGAGAAGAACGUUGGUGAGAGUGGAAAGCUCAUCAAGUGACGGUAACUACCCAGAAAGGGACGGCUAACUACGUG